AUCCAGCUGACGAGUCCCAGAUAGGGCGAAACGCGCGCCUUGGAU
rnacentral:hammerhead_ribozyme from 1 species